UCGCGACCGGCCUGCAGGUCCACUCUAAUAUUCCCGCUGUCGCAGACGCCGCCACCUCCCGGGGCGCCGCGCCCCGCCCCCCAACCUAAGCACACCUUUGGGAAGUUGCCUAAAGUUGCUACGCCUCCCCGCAAGCCCCGACGCCCGCGGGAGACCGCUACCAGGUUAUCAGGAAGUUAUCUCAACUUCCAUCAGGCCUCAGCUGAAAGCUCAUCUGCCAAAACGCAUCAGCACUCAUGUAAAAUAAAAGGAGUAGGGAGGUGACUUUGUACACAUACUGUCCAGUGUUUGGCUGCCAGUUUCCCUCUUGUGUGUAACUAUUCUAGGCCCUGUCUGACCUGCAGCCGGCUGUUGAGGCGGCCCUAGUCGGCCUCCUUCUGGUGAUCUGUUUCUUGUGCGUGUCCACCAACAGCAAGAGGUCCGAAUUGCCCUUUUCCAGCCGCUCGCGGGCCACUUCGGUGCGCCGGACCUGGCCCUGCAGCUCGGCCACCUCCUCCUGAAGCAGGACGUGGCAAGAAGAGAUGCUCCAGCAGUUGAAGCAGGUUCCCAAGUUAUUUAUAAACAAAGGCUUUUAUGCUCCAGAACUCUCUUCACUGCCUUGCCUUCUUCUCCCUCAACUGCACGUCUGGCAAAUAGGAUGGUGGAUUAAAGCAAGUCACAGCAGAGGGCAAAUGUCUUGGUCCAGCACAGCCUUGCCUUGGGGCCUUCAGCUUAGGCACGGAAUCUUCUUUGGCCUGGAAUAGCCGUCCCAAAGACUGUCCCAUGAUUGGUUCCUUCACACCAUCUGCUUUAGCUCAGCAGGGCUUUCUCAGGAGUACAUCGCAUCUAGCCAAGCCGACCUUCCCGCUCUGUCAUGUCGGGCCGUUUCCUUGCCUUCUUGCACACAGCACUAUCUGAAAUAAUCUCCUUCCAGUCAUUCAGCACAUUCAUUGAGUGCCUGCUCGUAUGCCCUGUCUUAUGCACUUGGGAUAGAUCAAGGUACAAAUGCAACACCUUCUCUACCCUGGUGGAAUUUACAGGCCUUGUGAAUUACAUUGUUUCCUUUUUCAUCAUCCGCCUCUGGCUAAAAUGUAAGCUCUAGGGGAGCAGGGACCUCUGUCAGCCUUGUUCUCUACUUUUUCCCAAGAGCCUAGAACUGUGUCUGGUACAUCCUUCAUGGUCAAUCAAUAUUUGUGGAAUGAAUAAACAAAUGUUUAUAUUAACCAGG